rnacentral:lncRNA from 13 species
GCUUUGACCUCUAUAUGGACAAAAUUAAGCCUGUUAUUUCAAUUUUUUUCUGGAACAGAAUGACGAACAAUGCCUCACAAGGGGCCUGCAAUUCAACAACACUGAAUCAGGGCAUUUCCAGGAUUUCUAAAGCUGUAGACACCCUGACUAACCAACUGUUCUGUGAGGGAGGGAACAACCAAAGCUUUCCUGAAGAGAAGUUCAGCGUGCUGCAACAAGACCUCAGACAGAUUAUGAAAUUGGCCUUAAAAGUCUUCCUUCAUUUGGGCACCAAUGAAUCAAAGUCUGAGGUCCUGGAUGUCUUUGGAGCUUUGAACAGUCUCAACAGUGAUAACGAUCAAAAUGUGCAAUUCAUCCGCCUGUGGUUCAACGUCCAGCUGGUACCUCUUUUACCCCACAUUACCGGAGACUUCCUGUCCCUGUUGAGCACAAGAGACUUCAGCUGCAGCUCCUAUCAGGCACUGGUCCUGGGAUUGAGUGGUGAACUGGUAUCCAUUAAUGAAGAGCAGAAACAAUUGAUCUACACUCACUUUAUCCGUCUUUUCCUGUUCAGAAAGGGAUCAUCAGAUCCUGGAUGCUUGGGAAAUGUAAAUGAAAGUGCAGACUGGUUGUUGAAAAACUUUGGAAACUUUUCAAGCAUUGCUGAUUUAAAGGAUCUGUAUGAACUAAACCAGCAUUUCUCUGCGCUGGAGGUUUUGAAAAUCCUUUCACCAAACCAGAAAGCUGAAUUGAUACUGGACCCAAGCACUGGCGCUCUGGAGAAUGAGACUCUUGUGAAGAACGUUUUCAUCAGCUUGCUGGAAUCCCCAAGGGAAGAGCAGCUCAAUGAGUUCUUUGUGACUUUUGUUGAAGUCACCAAGCAGGAAAACAUCACUAUCAUCACAAACACAGCUGUAAGAGACACAAUGCUAGACCUGACCUUGAUGGCUCUUGCUCCCAAAUUCGACGUUUUUGAGCCAAAAGACUUCCAGCUGUGGUUCCAAGUCAAUCUGGUUGUUCUGCUGGCCAGCUUCCAUCCUGGCAGAUUGGUUGAUAUCCCCCUAAACAUCACCUGUGAAUCCUACAAUGCCAUAUUUACGGGUCUCAACCAAAGUUUGGAAUCUCUUCCGCCUCACCUCUCACAGGGUGUAAAGGCAAGCUUGGAUGCUCUGAUGAAGACAUUCCAACGUUGCUCAAGGCCUCCAGCUUUAAUUGUGGUAAGUACUCUCUGAGUGGGAUCUUAUUUUAAAUAGACCUUUUGUUUACGAUAUGGGAAAGGUCAUGCAUCUGGUAUCUGCAUUGUGGCAUUGUUCAGAAAGCCAAAGCAUCUCUUUUGUUUUCUCAUUUAAUUUCACACUGGUAACAAUAUUAUUUCCCCCCCAUAUAGUGCAAAGAAACAUUGGUCAAUGGUAAGUUGAUGCUAGCUGUGCAAUUGACAUUUUCUUGAAUCAGAUUGGCAAUUUAUGAUUUGUGUCUGAAGAACUAUUGUUUUUAUGUUCUCUUUUGCAGAGAAACAACUUUGUGCUGGAUUUAACAGGUGGGUUCAGUGCUGUCUUGCACAGUGCAG